CGACGACCCUUACGGAUGGGGGAUAGCCAGCCCAACGGCUGGGUAAUACCGCAUACGCUUCUUCUGGGGCAUCCUGGGGGAAGGAAAGCGCUACGAGGCAACUCGAGGGCGUCCGAGGACGGGCGUCGCGGCCUAUCAGCUAGUUGGUGGGGUGAUGGCUCACCAAGGCGACGACGGGUAGCUGGUCUGAGAGGAUGGCCAGCCACAUUGGGACUGAGAAACGGCCCAG
rnacentral:rRNA from 1 species